rnacentral:sRNA from 1 species
AGCUACCUGAUCCGAAUACUAAGCAGAGCGAGUGUCGGGCUUGUAAGACACUGAAGACACUGCAGAGCAAGGUGCUUAUUCCAGAGGCGUUACAAAACAUGGAGAUUAAAGACCAGGGAGCCCAAAUGGAGCCGCUGCUGCCUACGCCCUGAAGAUGCUGAGACAUAGAGAUGACUGUGAUUAUCUUUUGUAAGACAGGAAAUGCAGUCUUUAGGGGUUUCUGGAAAUAGAAAGGUCAUGCAGUCUGGAACCUGUGAGCCUUUUCAAUCUCUAAGCCAUCAGAGAAAUGAUGAAGAAGCAGUUGUGGAUAGAGGUGGAACUCGUUCUAUUCUCAAAACACACUUUGAGAAAGAAGAUUUAGAAGGUCAUCGAACACUGUUUAUUGGAGUACAUGUGCCCUUGGGAGGAAGAAAAAGCCAUCGACGUCACAGGCAUCGUGGUCAUAAACACAGAAAGAGAGACAGAGAAAGAGAUUCAGGAUUAGAGGAUGGAAGGGAGUCACCUUCUUUUGACACCCCAUCACAGAGGGUACAGUUUAUUCUUGGAACCGAGGAUGAUGAUGAGGAACACAUUCCUCAUGACCUUUUCACAGAACUGGAUGAGAUUUGUUGGCGUGAAGGUGAGGAUGCUGAGUGGCGAGAAACAGCCAGGUGGUUGAAGUUUGAAGAAGAUGUGGAAGAUGGAGGAGAAAGGUGGAGCAAGCCUUAUGUGGCUACUCUUUCAUUGCACAGCUUGUUUGAGUUGAGAAGUUGUAUUCUGAAUGGAACUGUGUUGCUGGACAUGCAUGCCAACACUUUAGAAGAAAUUGCAGAUAUGGUUCUUGACCAGCAAGUGAGCUCAGGUCAGCUGAAUGAAGAUGUACGCCACAGGGUCCAUGAGGCAUUGAUGAAACAGCAUCAUCAUCAGAAUCAGAAAAAACUCACCAACAGGAUUCCCAUUGUUCGUUCCUUUGCUGAUAUUGGCAAGAAACAGUCAGAACCAAAUUCCAUGGACAAAAAUGCAGGUCAGGCUGUUUCUCCUCAGUCUGCUCCAGCCUGUGUUGAAAAUAAAAAUGAUGUUAGCAGAGAAAACAGCACUGUUGACUUUAGCAAGAAUCCCUCUGACAAUGCCUAAAUAAUCUAGAUCUAGUUAUGUGCAUGCUCUCCCUCUGGUGCCUGGCGAAGUCCCCGUGGGAGCAUGGUGUACCAGCUUAAGUCUGUUAAUUAUGCGUGCAGGGACUG